AGUUGGUCACAAGGGAAAAGGGCUGUACAUAGUUGUGGGCUCUUCCUCCUGCUCCUAUCACCACAUCAGCUACUGUGUGAAGCACAACUAGCCUGACCCUCUAAGGAAGCUGUUUCCAGCAUUAGAAACAUGGUAUGUAUAGAAAACUCAAAAAGGAAGACAAAACAUCAAGAACAAUUUUCAGAUACAAGGGACCAAGAGGCUCUUCAGAAUCUUGGUGGCAACAUCCACAGCUCCUGACAGAUUUACCCGCUUCCUUCACAUUGCACCCAAACAAGUGUUUUCCCUCCUCCCACCCCCCAGCAGCUUCCAUUUGAAGAAGGAAACCAUUUGAGAGACUAUGAUACACAAUGAAGAGAAGCAGGGAAUCUGCAGAGGCUGUUCAUAUGCUGUA